rnacentral:rRNA from 1 species
GGGCGUUAAGUUGCAGGGUAUAGACCCGAAACCCGGUGAUCUAGCCAUGGGCAGGUUGAAGGUUGGGUAACACUAACUGGAGGACCGAACCGACUAAUGUUGAAAAAUUAGCGGAUGACCUGUGGCUGGGGGUGAAAGGCCAAUCAAACCGGGAGAUAGCUGGUUCUCCCCGAAAGCUAUUUAGGUAGCGCCUCGUGAAUUCAUCUCCGGGGGUAGAGCACUGUUUCGGCCAGGGGGCCAUCCCGGCUUACCAAUCCGAUGCAAACUGCGAAUACCGGAGAAUGUUAUCACGGGAGACACACGGCGGGUGCUAACGUCCGUCGUGAAGAGGGAAACAACCCAGACCGCCAGCUAAGGUCCCAAAGUCAUGGUUAAGUGGGAAACGAUGUGGGAAGGCCCAGACAGCCAGGAUGUUGGCUUAGAAGCAGCCAUCAUUUAAAGAAAGCGUAAUAGCUCACUGGUCGAGUCGGCCUGCGCGGAAGAUGUAACGGGGCUAAACCAUGCACCGAAGCUGCGGCAGCGACACUGAUGUGUUGUUGGGUAGGGGAGCGUUCUGUAAGCCGUUGAAGGUGGCCUGUGAGGGUUGCUGGAGGUAUCAGAAGUGCGAAUGCUGACAUAAGUAACGAUAAAGCGGGUGAAAAGCCCGCUCGCCGGAAGACCAAGGGUUCCUGUCCAACGUUAAUCGGGGCAGGGUGAGUCGACCCCUAAGGCGAGGCCGAAAGGCGUAGUCGAUGGGAAACGGGUUAAUAUUCCCGUACUUGGUGUUACUGCGAAGGGGGGACGGAGAAGGCUAUGUUGGCCGGGCGACGGUUGUCCCGGUUUAAGCGUGUAGGUGUGUGUUCCAGGUAAAUCCGGUUCACUUUAACACUGAGGCGUGAUGACGAGGCAC